rnacentral:misc_RNA from 1 species
UUCCUUGGUAACACCUCCAAGGCUUCUAAAAUUUGCAAGCCAAAUGGAUGCUGAAGCGAAGAAGACAAGAGGGAAUUCAAAAAACUUACAAUUCACGACCCCGUCUGUUCAGCUGUGAGGAUUAUUUGAAUUCCGCAACGAGCUUACGAUAUUCUUUGCUGAACAACCCAUUUCUGUAUCUGUUAGUACGCUUGUUGAACUAUUGCAUGAUGAGCAAGGAUUGAUGAUAUUGGCUUACUUAGCUGUUAUAUUCGAUAAACUUAAACGUAAUCUGCCAGCCCUUACAAGGAAGAACGGUAACCACAUACAAAGACAAAAUAUCGUCUUUAAAAACAAAUUUGCUUAUGGAUAGAACGUGUGGAACAUAAAAAUUACUAAUGUUUUGCCCUUCCAAGUUACUUCCUGGAAGAGAAUAAGUUAGGAGCAAUAAUUGAACAUUUAAUUAACCUCGAAAAAUCCUUGAAAGAUUAUCUCCCGGAGAAGUUACAGGACAUCUACUGGUUCAGAAUCCAUUCACAAAACAUACCAAGCCAUCGAUGCUAACUAUGCCAAGAUUGCACUUAAAGAUGACUAUCCCGCAAUCGCUCAUAAAGCUCUUAUGUUUCUACUUCCUUUUGUGACGACUUAACGGUACAAGCUUAGAAAUAGACUGGAUGCAGCUCCGAAUUUUCGUAUUCAAUUGUCAGACAUUAAGCCUAAUUCAUUAUUCACAUUGAAAUAGUUAUAGUUAAAUACUUACUUAAUUAUUGUAUUUAUCUUUAUAUAAUAAAUAUUUUGUACUCCUUA